AUCGCGUAGCUCAGUUGGCAGAGCAUUGGGCUAGUAUUCCAAAGGUCGUAGGUUCGAUUCUCACCGUUGGGUG
rnacentral:tRNA from 1 species